rnacentral:pre_miRNA from 1 species
AUCUUCUAUGAAAAGAUAGAGUCGUAAGCUCCCUGUACGUUAUUCCAGUACAUUUGCUUUUUUUGUUAGUUGCACUUUUGGAUCUAACAGUAUAAGGUUUCACUUUUUUCUAGUCAUCAGUUUUU